GUGGUUAAAACUCUAGGGUCAAGAUCAAACAUAUUUAUACCUGUUGACAAUCCACAUUGAAUACACAUGUUAAACAUGAAAGCACCUACUGAUCAAAAUUAAGGCCAAGUUUAAAGUUUGGUAUUUUUCUUGUAAAAAUGUGUAAAUCCUAGGUCAAGCAAUCAAGAGGUCAAAAUUAAUGGUACCCAAAUAAAAGGUCUUGUCACAAGAAAUAAACCUAUGAAAUGUGGAAGCCGUGUGUAUAGCCCAUUCCACUUAAAACGUAUCAGCAAGGUUAAAGGGUUUGUUCCCAUCUUGCCUAAACUGUAAAAUUAAGUAUUCCCAUUUCGCCUUAGUAAGCUCUCAAGUGAAUGAAGGUGAGGCGACCAUAAUUUGAUUUUUAAUUUUACGGAUCCGCCGACUCUAAAAAUUUGCAUUUCAAAAAAAAAAUAAAAUCGGAAAUUUUCAAUCCGCUUUUGUCAAACCUGUGUUUAUAAAAGCAAAUCACAGAAACUUAGAAAAAAACACAUGUGCCGAAUGGUAGAAGAAGGUGAGCUGUCAACUAUGAUUUUAUCGAGAGUCUACAAAUUCUGAACCCUCCCCAUUGCAUGUCUCUCUCUAUUUUUUUAAUUGCUGUUUCUACCAAUUUCGAAAAAAUCCGGAUUUUUUACCUUCUUCGAUUUGUAAAAUACUGACAAGUCAAAACAAAAAUGGCUGUCAUGCAGUGUUUACUGGUAGCUAAUCUGCUUAUUGCCACUGAUAACAGAGGAAAUGAAAGCAAGUACAUGGUAACUAAUAAAGAGUGACAGUCUGCAGAGGGAACACCGCGGAUUACGAGAUUCAGUGACUUAGCAAAUCCUACAUCAAGACCAGUAUAUAAAAACCCUUGAAACUGCAGAGCAACUUGACAGUACCUCUAGAAGACUUCUUUGAAUUUAGGUAGCUAAACAGGAUCUUUAUUAAAUCCAGGAAACAGAUCUCUUGUUUCUUAUAAUGAGAAAAAUCCAUUCAUCCAUCAGUUGAAAGCUGGAAACUCAGAGCAUCUGCAGAAUUUUAUUAAUUCGUUUAAUUGCCAAGUUAAACUUCGAUAUUUACCCUGAAUAUUAUUCAAAUGACGCUCAAAUGAAAGUGCAAACUAUACAGUGAAGAACAUAAUUAAAUUUUUAUAAUUUCAAAUAUUACAUGGUACUCAUAUUAAACAAUGUUUGAAUUAAAAGUUGUAGUUUUUAUAAAUAACAACAUUUAUACAUGCAAUGUAUAUUAAUAUUUAAAAAAAAAAUAUCUUGUAAGUUGUUUUUUGUUUUGUUUUAUAUUACAGUGAAAUGGGACAUGACUUUUUAUAUGUGAAAAAGGUCGUUGCUAGAAUGAUUUUUGUCUUUUUUUUUUUUUUUCGUCCUCCGACUUGACCUUUCUUGAAAAAAAAAUCCGUAAAACUAAAAAUCAAAUUAUGG